GACGAACGCUGGCGGCGUGCCUAAUACAUGCAAGUAGAACGCUGAAGGAGGAGCUUGCUCUUAUGGAUGAGUUGCGAAAGGGUGAGUAACGAGUAGGUAAACUGCCCGGUAGCGGGGGAUAACUAUUGGAAACGAUAGCUAAUACCGCAUAGAAGUAGAUGUUGCAUGACAUUUACUUAAAAGGUGCACUUGCAUCUAUAACAGACAGACCUGCGUUGGAUUAGCUAGUUGGUGGGGUAACGGCCCACCAAGGCGACGAUACAUACCCGACCCGAGAGGGGGGUCGGCCCCACUGGGAAUGAGAACCCGCCCCGGCCCCUACGGGAAGCCGCAGUAGGGAAUCCUCCGCAAUUGACGGAAGUCCUGCCGAGCCACGCCGCGUUGGUGAAUAAGGUUUUCGGAUCGUAAAGCUCUGUUGUAAGGGAAGAACGAGUUUGCGGGUGGAAAGUUCACACUGUGACGGUAUCUGACCAGAAAGCGACGGCUAACUACGUG
rnacentral:rRNA from 1 species